rnacentral:rRNA from 1 species
AGCGUACACGGUGGAUGCCCUGGCAGUCAGAGGCGAUGAAGGACGUGCUAAUCUGCGAUAAGCGUCGGUAAGGUGAUAUGAACCGUUAUAACCGGCGAUUUCCGAAUGGGGAAACCCAGUGUGAUUCGUCACACUAUCAUUAACUGAAUCCAUAGGUUAAUGAGGCGAACCGGGGGAACUGAAACAUCUAAGUACCCCGAGGAAAAGAAAUCAACCGAGAUUCCCCCAGUAGCGGCGAGCGAACGGGGAGCAGCCCAGAGCCUGAAUCAGUGUGUGUGUUAGUGGAAGUGUCUGGAAAGGCGCGCGAUACAGGGUGACAGCCCCGUACACAAAAAUGCACAUGCUGUGAGCUCGAUGAGUAGGGCGGGACACGUGGUAUCCUGUCUGAAUAUGGGGGGACCAUCCUCCAAGGCUAAAUACUCCUGACUGACCGAUAGUGAACCAGUACCGUGAGGGAAAGGCGAAAAGAACCCCGGCGAGGGGAGUGAAAAAGAACCUGAAACCGUGUACGUACAAGCAGUGGGAGCACGCUUAGGCGUGUGACUGCGUACCUUUUGUAUAAUGGGUCAGCGACUUAUAUUCUGUAGCAAGGUUAACCGAAUAGGGGAGCCGAAGGGAAACCGAGUCUUAACUGGGCGUUAAGUUGCAGGGUAUAGACCCGAAACCCGGUGAUCUAGCCAUGGGCAGGUUGAAGGUUGGGUAACACUAACUGGAGGACCGAACCGACUAAUGUUGAAAAAUUAGCGGAUGACUUGUGGCUGGGGGUGAAAGGCCAAUCAAACCGGGAGAUAGCUGGUUCUCCCCGAAAGCUAUUUAGGUAGCGCCUCGUGAAUUCAUCUCCGGGGGUAGAGCACUGUUUCGGCAAGGGGGUCAUCCCGACUUACCAACCCGAUGCAAACUGCGAAUACCGGAGAAUGUUAUCACGGGAGACACACGGCGGGUGCUAACGUCCGUCGUGAAGAGGGAAACAACCCAGACCGCCAGCUAAGGUCCCAAAGUCAUGGUUAAGUGGGAAACGAUGUGGGAAGGCCCAGACAGCCAGGAUGUUGGCUUAGAAGCAGCCAUCAUUUAAAGAAAGCGUAAUAGCUCACUGGUCGAGUCGGCCUGCGCGGAAGAUGUAACGGGGCUAAACCAUGCACCGAAGCUGCGGCAGCGACGCUUAUGCGUUGUUGGGUAGGGGAGCGUUCUGUAAGCCUGCGAAGGUGUGCUGUGAGGCAUGCUGGAGGUAUCAGAAGUGCGAAUGCUGACAUAAGUAACGAUAAAGCGGGUGAAAAGCCCGCUCGCCGGAAGACCAAGGGUUCCUGUCCAACGUUAAUCGGGGCAGGGUGAGUCGACCCCUAAGGCGAGGCCGAAAGGCGUAGUCGAUGGGAAACAGGUUAAUAUUCCUGUACUUGGUGUUACUGCGAAGGGGGGACGGAGAAGGCUAUGUUGGCCGGGCGACGGUUGUCCCGGUUUAAGCGUGUAGGCUGGUUUUCCAGGCAAAUCCGGAAAAUCAAGGCUGAGGCGUGAUGACGAGGCACUACGGUGCUGAAGCAACAAAUGCCCUGCUUCCAGGAAAAGCCUCUAAGCAUCAGGUAACAUCAAAUCGUACCCCAAACCGACACAGGUGGUCAGGUAGAGAAUACCAAGGCGCUUGAGAGAACUCGGGUGAAGGAACUAGGCAAAAUGGUGCCGUAACUUCGGGAGAAGGCACGCUGAUAUGUAGGUGAAGUCCCUCGCGGAUGGAGCUGAAAUCAGUCGAAGAUACCAGCUGGCUGCAACUGUUUAUUAAAAACACAGCACUGUGCAAACACGAAAGUGGACGUAUACGGUGUGACGCCUGCCCGGUGCCGGAAGGUUAAUUGAUGGGGUUAGCGCAAGCGAAGCUCUUGAUCGAAGCCCCGGUAAACGGCGGCCGUAACUAUAACGGUCCUAAGGUAGCGAAAUUCCUUGUCGGGUAAGUUCCGACCUGCACGAAUGGCGUAAUGAUGGCCAGGCUGUCUCCACCCGAGACUCAGUGAAAUUGAACUCGCUGUGAAGAUGCAGUGUACCCGCGGCAAGACGGAAAGACCCCGUGAACCUUUACUAUAGCUUGACACUGAACAUUGAGCCUUGAUGUGUAGGAUAGGUGGGAGGCUUUGAAGUGUGGACGCCAGUCUGCAUGGAGCCGACCUUGAAAUACCACCCUUUAAUGUUUGAUGUUCUAACGUGGACCCGUAAUCCGGGUUGCGGACAGUGUCUGGUGGGUAGUUUGACUGGGGCGGUCUCCUCCUAAAGAGUAACGGAGGAGCACGAAGGUUGGCUAAUCCUGGUCGGACAUCAGGAGGUUAGUGCAAUGGCAUAAGCCAGCUUGACUGCGAGCGUGACGGCGCGAGCAGGUGCGAAAGCAGGUCAUAGUGAUCCGGUGGUUCUGAAUGGAAGGGCCAUCGCUCAACGGAUAAAAGGUACUCCGGGGAUAACAGGCUGAUACCGCCCAAGAGUUCAUAUCGACGGCGGUGUUUGGCACCUCGAUGUCGGCUCAUCACAUCCUGGGGCUGAAGUAGGUCCCAAGGGUAUGGCUGUUCGCCAUUUAAAGUGGUACGCGAGCUGGGUUUAGAACGUCGUGAGACAGUUCGGUCCCUAUCUGCCGUGGGCGCUGGAGAACUGAGGGGGGCUGCUCCUAGUACGAGAGGACCGGAGUGGACGCAUCACUGGUGUUCGGGUUGUCAUGCCAAUGGCACUGCCCGGUAGCUAAAUGCGGAAGAGAUAAGUGCUGAAAGCAUCUAAGCACGAAACUUGCCCCGAGAUGAGUUCUCCCUGACUCCUUGA